rnacentral:rRNA from 1 species
GAUGAACGCUGGCGGCGUGCCUAAUACAUGCAAGUCGAGCGAACAGACGAGGAGCUUGCUCCUCUGACGUUAGCGGCGGACGGGUGAGUAACACGUGGAUAACCUACCUAUAAGACUGGGAUAACUUCGGGAAACCGGAGCUAAUACCGGAUAAUAUAUUGAACCGCAUGGUUCAAUAGUGAAAGACGGUUUUGCUGUCACUUAUAGAUGUAUCCGCGCCGCAUUAGCUAGUUGGUAAGGUAACGGCUUACCAAGGCAACGAUGCGUAGCCGACCUGAGAGGGUGAUCGGCCACACUGGAACUGAGACACGGUCCAGACUCCUACGGGAGGCAGCAGUAGGGAAUCUUCCGCAAUGGGCGAAAGCCUGACGGAGCAACGCCGCGUGAGUGAUGAAGGUCUUCGGAUCGUAAAACUCGGUUAUUAGGGAAGAACAAAUGUGGAAGUAACUAUGCACGUCUUGACGGUACCUAAUCAGAAAGCCACGGCUAACUACGUG